rnacentral:rRNA from 1 species
GUGUCAGCAGCCGCGGUAAUACGGAGGGAGCUAGCGUUGUUCGGAAUUACUGGGCGUAAAGCGCACGUAGGCGGCUUUCUAAGUCAGGGGUGAAAUCCCGGGGCUCAACCCCGGAACUGCCCUUGAAACUGGAUGGCUAGAAUCCUGGAGAGGCGAGUGGAAUUCCGAGUGUAGAGGUGAAAUUCGUAGAUAUUCGGAAGAACACCAGUGGCGAAGGCGACUCGCUGGACAGGUAUUGACGCUGAGGUGCGAAAGCGUGGGGAGCAAACAGGAUUAGAAACCCUCGUAGUCC